AUGGCGCUCGUCCCACAUGGCGGCGGCGCGGGCGGAUCGGCGACGAUGGCGAUGCCGAUGCUAACCGCGGACAACUACACGGUUUGGGCCAUCAAGGCACAGGCGAUCCUCGACAUCCACACCGUAUGGGAGGCGGUGGCACCGGGCGACGCGGCGGUGAACACCAAGAAGGACAAGAUGACGCGGGCGUUGCUCCUCGGGGCGUUGCCGGAGGAUGUGCUGCUGCAGGUGUCGACGAAGCUCAACGCCAGGGAGGGAUGGGACUCUCUGAAGGUGAGGUUCGUCGGCGCCGAUCGGGUCCGCGCGGCGAGGCUGGGGACGCUGCGCGGUGAAUUCGACCGGAUGAAGAUGGCGGACGGCGAGGAGCUCGACGUGUACGGCGGGAGGCUCGCGGCGAUGGCUGCGAGGUAUGCCAACCUCGGGGAGACGCUGGGCGACGCAGCACUUGUCAAGAAGUUGCUGGAUACGGUGCCGGAUCGCCUCUUCUCCGUCGUCGCCGGCAUCGAGCAGUUCCACGACGUGACGACGAUGGCGUUCGACGUAGCGCUCGGGCGGCUGCGUGCGUUCGACUAG
rnacentral:rRNA from 1 species